rnacentral:tRNA from 1 species
UAACCAAACACUCUUGUAGCUUAAACCCAAAGC